CUGGGCGCGCAGCUGCCGCGGUUCUGCGGGACCCGGGCGGGCGCGGGCGAGCGCUGCGGAGCAGAUGGCGCCGGCGGGGGGGCGGCCGUUUGGCGUUCGUAGCACUUUCCUUCGCGCAUAUGUUACGGACGGGCGGGAGGAGAGGACGACCUCGAGCCCGCUGAGGCGGCCGGUUACUAGCCCUGGAUCUUAGCUCUGAACCCCAACUCUGACCCGCGUCCGUGGGGGAGGGGGUUGGUCGUGACGCAUCUGCCCAGCCUCUCGGUGACAACCACACGUUCCACUUGUCCUUCUCAUCAUAAAGCUACAAGAAUGGUCUUAGUCCCAUUUUACAGCUGGCAAACUGAGGUCCAAGAAGGAACUGACCAACAACGGGACCAGGACUAGAACUGGCGUUGGCUGACUCCUGCCUGAGUGCUUGGCUCCACAUGGGGACCACUGUGUCCCCAACCUAAGGGUCCCGUCAAAAAGAGUGAAACAAACACAACCAAACUGCCCUGCAGAGUAAAGGAUUUGGAGGAAGCAGGUGAAGAGCCCAGGAACAACAAGACAACGACAACAACAACAGCUUGGAAAGAAGUGCAAGGAGGAGGCAGAAAGACGGAUUCUGCCAAGAUGAGAAAGGGUAGUACCUGGAGGAGGAGAGAGCCUGGGAGACGUCCCUGGCAAUGGGCGCUGCUAAGAGACUGAAACAAAGGAAUGUCUAGUGUUCAACUUUAAGGGGUUUGCCAUUCGUGACUGCUGAAUCACUCGUAAAAAUUUCCCACACAUAACUCCUUGCCGGGGUUAUCAGAGGAAAGGAUGGACCAUCUCUCGUGUGGAAUGCAGGGCCAGGAAAGAAGAAGCCCAAUAGGACAAUGAUCCUGAUGGAGGCUGUCAGCCGCCCCUGGGAGGUCUUUGUUGAUAUUGAGCUCUGGAGGAGGAGAUGGUGGACGACACCUGACGGCAUAUGGGAGAAGCCAGGCUGUAUGGAGGGACUGGGAGAACACUAAACCGGGUCUGGUUUCUGAAUCUGCCUCCCAAGAACAAGACUGCAGGACAGAUAAGCCUUGCUUUCCUUCUAGCACAGCACACAGUAAGCUCAUGGGUCUGGCUUCCCUAU
rnacentral:lncRNA from 1 species